AAUUCCAGCGAGAGACAGAGGGAGUGAGCGGGCGGGUUGGAAGAGCACAGUGUGCAGAGCCGCGCUCCGGGCGUCCUGGGAAGGCAGCUUGGGAGUGAGAGGGGCUUCUCCUCCGGGCCUGCCGCCCCCCCCCGCCCCAGCCCUCCGGCUGACCUAGCACCAGCGAACGCAACCCUCGCCCCCUCUGGGAAACUUUGCCCAUUGCAACGGGCGGACACUUUCGCACUGGAACUUACAAUCUGCGAGUGAGGAUAGGACUCCCAGGCGCCGGGGAGGAAAUUUUUGUCUAUUUGGGGACAGUGUUCUCUGCCUC
rnacentral:other from 1 species